UACGAAGGGGGCUAGCGUUGCUCGGAAUCACUGGGCGUAAAGCGCACGUAGGCGGACUCUUAAGUCAGGGGUGAAAUCCUGGAGCUCAACUCCAGAACUGCCUUUGAUACUGCAAAUCUCGAGUCCGGAAGAGGUGAGUGGAAUUCCUAGUGUAGAGGUGAAAUUCGUAGAUAUUAGGAAGAACACCAGUGGCGAAGGCGGCUCACUGGUCCGGUACUGACGCUGAGGUGCGAAAGCGUGGGGAGCAAACAGG
rnacentral:rRNA from 1 species